UACGUAGGGUGCAAGCGUUAAUCGGAAUUACUGGGCGUAAAGCGUGCGCAGGCGGCUUUGCAAGACAGAUGUGAAAUCCCCGGGCUUAACCUGGGAACUGCAUUUGUGACUGCAUGGCUGGAGUGCGGCAGAGGGGGAUGGAAUUCCGCGUGUAGCAGUGAAAUGCGUAGAUAUGCGGAGGAACACCGAUGGCGAAGGCAAUCCCCUGGGCCUGCACUGACGCUCAUGCACAAAAGCGUGGGGAGCAAACCGG
rnacentral:rRNA from 1 species